CGUUUGCACACUUGGUCCCCAUCUGGUGGUGCUUUUCUAGGAUACUGUGGAACCUUUAGGAGUGUGGGAGUUAACCGGAAGUUGCCACUGUAGCUUGGGCCUUGAAGGAGAUGACCACUUCUGGGCUCGGCCAGAGCUUGCUUCUCUUCUUUCCUUUCCUUUCCUUUCCUUUCCUUUCCUUUCCUUUCCUUUCCUUUCCUUUCCUUUCCUUUCCUUUCCUUUCCUUCCCUUCCCUUCCCUUCCCUUUCCUUUCCUUUUCCUUUUCCCUUCCCUCCCUCCCCCUCUCUCCCUUUCUUUCUUUCUUUCUUUCCUCCUCCCUCCCUCCCUCCUUCCCUCCCUCCCUAUUUUUAAAGAUGUAUUUAUCUUAUGUAGGUGAGUACAGCAUUGCUUCCUUUCAGACACACCAAUGGAGGGCAUCAGAUCCCAUGACAGAUGGUUGUGAGCCACCAUGUGGUUUCAGGGAACUGAACUUCUGGAAGAACAGUCAGUGCCCUUAACCUCCGAGACAUCUCGCCAGCCCAGAGCUCCUUUCUUAAACUGGAGUGACAGAGAGACCCUGUUAUUAACUCUGCAUCCACAGUGUCUGAGCUGCUCCAGCCUCCCCAUCACAGUGGACCAUGAUCCUCUGCUUCUCCUUUCCAUUGUGUUUGGUCACAGAGAGGAGAAAAGCAACUGCCAGGAACCCACUGCCUGACUUUGCAAGAAGGGGCUUUAUGAAGCCCAUCCCCCAAAAGGCCAGGCCACACAGACAGAGGAUCCCGCCAACCUCAGUAAUGUAUUCUAAUGAGAUGCUUCGAGCUCUGGGCCUGCGGAUCACACUGUGAAUGUUUACGUUGGGGGCAGACAGGGGCGCAUCGAAAUUGACCAGCGAUAGAGAAGGACGAUUACACAAAAGCCCAAGUCCUGAGUUCUGAGAUUUUAACUCGAUCCUUUCUUGUGAGACAAGCGAGAGAAAGCUAAUAAUAAGAUAAGCUAGCAAAUGAGAUAACAUGACAAACAUGUGUCCUCCGUCCCCAUAUCGUCUCUGCAGUCAUACUCGGCACAGUUAAAAAUAAAAGCUGCGUGAUCGUAUUUUAUAACUGCCUCUUUGGAACAUCCUGGAUAUGCAAAGAGGCCAUAAAAACACAUUACCGGAGAAUUGUUCUUCCUCUUUUCCUUGGAAUAUGAGGCCCCAUGAGCGACAGAAUGCAAAAUAAUGACGCUAUUUACAAGUUUAUGGCUGCUCACUGCAGUUCGAUGCUUUAAAUUUUCUUAAAGGGUUUUCAGGUUGUAUUUUGCUUAGGUGCCCGUGGGACUACAAUGGUCUUCCCAAUUAUUAAAAAUUAAUCAGGAACCCUCAGGAUGCUGUCGAGGUUUGUAAACCCAUCUCCUAUUCUGAUCAGGAUCCAGCACAAGCUGGAAGGUUUGAGGCUCUCUGCUCGGGGCAUUGAGGGGGUCACCCCUGAGGUAUCUGUGCUGGAGAAACCCUAGUGAGUGGAAUGAACAUCGGGGGUUAGCAAAUGGCCAUGGACCAUCUGUGAUCUACAGGUACCCUUGCUCUCUUUGUCGUUCUGGGCUGGAACUAUGGCUGUAAAGUCCUUCCAAGUGACACAUGUGCCACCCUUCCAUUCUCCAUAAAUAGGCUGCACUUACAUCCCAGGACUGCUCAGCCCUUGGACCCUGCCCAGCAUAAUCUCAAAGUUCAUGACCUUUCUUUUCUCCCGUAACCUCAUUCUGCUUCAGGGCUUCCUGUGACUCAUCCCAUGCCUGGAGGUCUCUUCCUCUCCUGUGAGGCUGACUGACCUCCUCUUCAGGUCUGUUUAGUGUCCCCUCACAUCUGAAUUAGGACUCUUUGCUCCUUUCAUGAUGAAGGAGAGCCACAGCGGUACCACACAGCACUCUGUCCUUUCUCUGUGAUGGCCGCCCAGUGACAGGGAAGACGCACGGUCUAGUUAGGCACCUGACAAAGGAGGCAACCUGGCAGAUCAAAGUGGGGGAUGUGGGGGUGUCCUUCCAGGAGGACCGCCUGCCUGGUGGGUCAGGAUAAAAUCCUCAGCCCUGUGAUGCUCUGUCUUCUGCUUUGGAAGUGCACUCCGGACUGUCUGUGGCAUGCACUGGGUACUUUAUAUUUUUGAUGGGGCAGGCUUGACACCAUGGCAAACUUGCAAACACAUAAAAGGCUGUAGAGCAAUAGGAGGGACUGACAUGUUUACAUACAUGGUAUACACACACACACAUAUACAGACAUACAUACAUACUGUGUAUAUAUAUGUAUACACACAUAUAUACAUAUACACAUACAUAUAUACAUACAUGUAUAUACAUAUAUACAUACACACACAUAUACAGACAGACAUAUAUACCGUGUAUAUAUACAUAUACACACAUAUAUACAUAUACGCAUACAUGUAUAUACAUAUAUACAUACACAUGCACAGACAUACAUGGAUGCAUAUGAAUGCAGAGGCCAGAAAAGAUAUCAGAUCCCCUGGAGCAGAACUUGCAAGCUGUUAUGAACCAGCAACAAAGGUUCUUUGCAGAGCACUGUGCAUUCGUGAACUUGAAACAAGCUAGGGGACCUCAACUAACAGAACACACCCAGGAGACCUGGCUGUAGCCACACCUGUAGGGCAUGUUUUCACAUAGUGAUGGAUGGGGGAAGGGCCCAGCCCAUUGUGGGUGGUAUCACCCCUGGGCUCUGUGUGGUAUAAGAAAGCAGGCUGAGCAAGCCAUGAGGAGCAAGCCAGUAAGCAGCAUCCCUCCAUGGCCUCUGCGUCAGCUCCUGCCUCCAGGUUCCUUCUCUGCUUGAGUUCCUGCCCUCACGGCUUUGGUAAUGAACUGUUAAGUGAAACUCAGAGUGGAAUUAGCCCUUCCCUCCCCGAGCUGCUUUCAGGCAUGGCGUUUCACCACAGCAACAGAGACCCUAAGACAACAGCCACAUUUAUCUUUUUCCUUCUUUCCUCCCUCCCUUCCUUCAUUUUGACGACACUUAAAAUCCUUACAGCACCUAGAAUUCAUUUGAUACAAAGUCCUCCUUUUAAGAUUUCUGCCCACACCCUAGUGCUAACGGAAACAUACCCUUAUAAUUUGCAUCUGCGUGGGGACAGUAUGGCUCCUUCAGGAGGUGGGGGUUCUGCUUGAAGAAGAGGACCGCCAGUCUCGGAAUGGGCUUUUGGGGGUGCCACCAGACCCCUGGUUCCAGCUUUGCCAUUUUUUUGUCCUGGUCCUCCCUGAUGUGAACAGCCUCUGCUUCAUUCCCCUACCAGCAUGAACUGAACUGUUCUGAUAGGCCAUCCCUGCUGUGGAAGACUGAAAGCCCUGGAACUGUGAGCCCCUAAAACCUUUCCUCCCUAAGUUUGCAUUCUAUAGACCCUUUCUCCUUAGGGUGCAGAUGACAGCUUCAUCCUUACUGCAGUGACAGCUUACAACUGUCACCUCUGCCGCUCAGCCCUUCUGGCACCUGACAUGGGAAGAUGAAGGUCUCAGACAACCAGAGAGGCCAAAGGAGGGACGUGAGAAGCCUCGUUCAUAAGACGACAGAUAAGCAAGUCAGACAUGAAAGAUGCGUGAGAGAACGUGGCAUCCCUCCGAGUCAUGUCUGUGCUAUGCAGAGACCAGUCAGCCUGCAACGGGGACCAGCUUCGCUACAGUGCAAGGUGUCACUGUUGCUUCAGUUGCCAACUGGACACCCCCAAGGGACCCUCUUGUCAACUGGACAUUCCUGAGGGACCUUCUUGUCAACUGGACACCCCCGAGGGACCCUCUUGUCAACUGGACACCCCCGAGGGACCCUCUUGUCAACUGGACACCCCCAAGGGACCCUCUUGUCAACUGGACAUUCCUGAGGGACCCUCUUGUCAACUGGACAUUCCUGAGAGACCCUCAAUGAGGAACUGUCUCCGGUAUAGUGGCCUGUGUUAAGUCCGAGGGGACAUUCUCUUGAUGGAUGACUGAUGUGGGUGGCUGGGCAGCCCAUCAUGGGCUGGUGUCCUGGUACUCUAAGAAAGCAGGCUGAGCAAGGAAAGGCCUCCAUGGCCUCUGCUUUCAGUUCUUGACCCAAUUCCCCUCUGUGAAGGGGCAGGACCCGAAAGUCAUAAGGUAAACCCUUUCCAUCCCAACUCACUUUUUGUCCUGGUGUUUACCACGGCAGCAGAAGCAAAGCAGGACAGGACUUCUCCACAAGCCGUCUAUGGCACGGGCCAUGGACCCUUACCGAGGCGCCACUCCUGCCUACCCCUUUAGGUCUUGGUAAAAUGGCAACAAUUUGAGUUCAAGUAGCACAUGGAAUCGCUGAGGUUAAGUAGCACACCAGCCUGGGGCUGUGGCCGGACUCUUCUUCGGGGAGGAGCUGUGGGAACUGGAGGCUGGGUUGUGAGCGUUCGUUUCUCCUCCGAAGGGAAAGGUUUCAGACACAGUUCCUUGCUCAUCACUCCUUCUCCGUCUUAAACGGUUCGCAGUCCAGGCAGCUUCUGGUCCCAGCCAGAGCCAUCCCCUGCCUACCACAGGCUCUCCGUGCUGGACGGUGCUGCCACUAAUCCUACCACAUCUUCCUUCCCUCUUCUGACCUUUUCCUGACCUCCCCUUUGUCAUCAUAAGAUGCCAAAGUCUCUAAAUCCAGAGCCUCCUGGAGUCCUUUGGUGCCUCCGCCCACCCGGUGCACAACCGAACUCUAGUUGUAACCAAAGGUCACAGUGAGCUGACCGUGUGCACCCAGCAGCUCUAGGCAGUUUCAAUGCCUUAGUAUUUACUGGGAAUUCAUUUUAAAUAUCUGAAAGUAGGACCAGGUCAUCUGUUCUUCUCUCUGUUCAUGUGUGGGGGGCAGGAAACUGCAGGGCAGGAAACUGCAGAGCAGAGGGGCUUACGGAGUUGUACCCAAUUUACAUUUUAAUUUUUUUUUUUUUUUUUAUGUAGAGGCAAAGGCCAUGCUGCCCGGGCCAUCCUCAACCUUAUUAUGUAGAUAAGGAUGACCUGGAACUUCUGAUCUUCCCAUUUCCACUUCCCAAAUGCUGGGAUUUCAGGCAUUCAGGCAUGUGGGAACCACCCCCAAUUUAUGCAGUGCUAGGCAUCAAACCUAGAGGGGGUUUUUGUUGUUGUUGUUGUUUUGUUUUGUUUUUUGUUUUUUUUUUUUCAUGCUUGGUAAGGAUUCCACCAACCAAGCCACAUCCCCACCCUCCAGAAGAAAUGUAUCUUUUAUCUGAAGGUCUGCACCAGGCUAUUCUCCCAUGGAAACUGCUAUAUCUACCCAUGUAGAUACAGCUACUGUCUACACAAAGCGAGUUCGUGGAAGCUCAAGAAUCCAGGGCCUGGUAGCUAAUGUUCGAGUAUGGAGUGGUUCUCUCCUCAGUGACCAGUCACUGUGACCAGAAUUGUAACCGUCAAGCGUGAGCAACAGAUGCUAAUCUCCCUAUGAAACCAAUGAGCAGUGACUACGCUAACAGGACUUUAUAGUUAAUUUGACAGACGUCCUCUCCAGUUCCACCUGAGCGGCCUGUUUUGUGCGACGCCUAGACUCCAUUCUUGUAACUAUGGGCAAACGCGCAGUCAACGGCGCUGCCUCUGAAGCGUGCAGCACCGAUCGCACUCACGGGCAGAGCUGCGCACUUGGAUCACGAGAAGGACACCCACCGCAUUGCUGUCCCUCCCGAGACUGGGACACUGACCUCUUGCCUCCCGCUGCUGGUACUCCUUACUCUUGAGCACAGGGUGGGAAAUCCACAUCCAGGGAUGGUGCUUCCGGAGCUGAGGGAGCAGGUGGUGUGUGAUAAGCCCCACGGUGCCCGCCAGGGCAAAGAGCACGAUGCUGAGAAAAGGCUGUGGGGAGGGGGAGGUCAACGGUCAACACAAACACACUCUUGAGUAAUGCAGGCAUCUGCCAUCACGCCUUCCCUCCUGUGUUUGGUUUGUUUUUUUUUUUUGGCCUGUGCAUGUCAUGUGCGUGCAGGUACACAUGCAUACACAUGCAUGAAAAGGUCAGGGGAUAAUCUUGGAUGUCAUUCCUCAGGUCCCAUUUGGCAUCUCAGUUUUCUGAGACAGUCUCUCACUGGCCUGGAAUUCACUCAGUAGUCCAGGCUAGCUGGAAGGCUUGUAAGUCUACCAGGGUACUGACUGAGCCUGCCCCCUACCCUCUUCCCUCUCAUAGGAAGACCUGUGUGUUGAGAGCUGCUAUGAACAAGGUGGGGGAGUGACCCCUGGAAGAGACUGGGAGAAUUCUGCCCCCGGCAUCACACCCUACAUCGUCAUCUCUUUUCAAAACUAGAGACCAGCACACUCAGCUGAUAGAGCAGUCCUGGGAGGAUGUGGCCGUGGUGGACGUCCCAUGUUUGUUUACAAGGCAACAAUAUUCUCUUCCAUCAAGAGAACGGCAAGGGGUGCAGAGCCUUGGGGCCCAGAGCCUUGGGGUGUAGAGCCUUGGGGACACCUACCCGUAAGGACAGGAAGACAGUGCUGGCACUGACUGCAAAGGAGAGGACAGCAGCUGCGGAGCAGAUGAUGAGGUCCGAUCUCAGGACGUCCUUCUAGGAAGAGAAGAUUGGCUGUGAGGUCAGCUCUGUGUGGCUUCCUCCUGGCGCUUGCCAGGUGAGUCAGUGGUGAGUCAGUGGCAGGGUGCUGACCCUCUGCACUGCUCACUCACUAAGACACCCCAGGGCUAAGCUAAGUCCACUAGCUUAGUCGCCGGCUCCCACUGUGGACGUCUCCGGGAAAGGGAGGUAGGUAUGGUGCUUGUGGAUAAACACACAUGCACUACGGUGGAGGGAACACACAUGUCUACACAUGAGAGGCCUAAGGUUCCGUCCCACAAACUUGGACGGGAUACUGAGUCCCCACAGACCUCCCGAAGCCCCGCAACUCAGACUCUCAUUACAGAUGGUUCUGAGCCACCAUGUGGUUGCUGGGAUUUGAACUCAGGACCUCUGGAAGAGCAACCAGUGCUCUUAACCACUGAGCCAUCUCUCCAGCCCGCAACUCAGACUCUCACAAAGCAGGGCUGAUGCUAACAGUCUCAACAAGGUCCCGGGUGGCCUCGGGUGUCAACAUGCAUCCUGGAGACACCAGACAGAAGCCUUGCAUACAUUUACAGGUUGGACCAUGCUAUACACUUCCAUUCAGCCAUCAGAUCCAUAAACAGACAGACAGACAGACAAAUAACUACCACUUUCCAGCUACUUCAGUACACAUAGCAUGGGAAUGUAAGGUUAGUGUCACCUGCCUGGCUUCCUUUUGUUGAUCUUAAAAUGUAAACAAUGUGUGCUAGCGUGAUGCCUGUGUUAACAUGUAAAGCUGGACAGGCAGUAGGAACGAUAAAGAGAAUACAGACACCGACCGAUGGGUGUGAAGUGGUCAGAUUGAACCCGUGUAGAGAAGGUGGUUUAGGAAGACCACAGUCCCCACACCGUCUCUUGUCAUACACCCGAUGUAUCUGUUCUGAACUACCUCUUGGAAGUCAGUGAGUACUGAGAAUGUGGGAGGAAUUAAAGUGAUAAUGCACUACCCAAUUCUCCAACUGCUGCUGCAGCCUGUGGUAGGGUGAUUUGCCCUCACACUAUUGAGGGAAGUUAAGAUGGAACUGAAGCGACCAUGUUAAGCAGAAAUCAUGGAGAAACAUUGUUGCUGGCUCACUUACAAGCUUAUGCUUAGUUAGCUUUCUUGUACAGUCCCAGCCCACCUGCCUAGGGAAUGUUGCUGCCCAUAGUGGGCUAAGCCCUCUUAUGUUGAUUAACAAGACAGGCUCAUAGGCCAAUCUGAUCUAGGCAAGUCCUCAAUCUACGCUCCCUUCUCAGGUGACCUUGAGCUGUGUCAGGUGGAUGAUUAAAGCUAGCUAGAACCAUGAUUUGAGAUUUGACUUAGCUUUAUUUCAGAAGCCCAGAGGAAUCUGUCUAGACCCUGUUGUCAUUGCUCACACUUGCAAAGCACCAGGCCUCCCAGAGAGCAAGUCUGCCAUUUAUAGCAUUUUUUGGCUGUAAAGAUUGCUAGCUUUUUCCUGUUUUUCUCUGGGAUGAGUUUAUGUCAUUCAAAAUCACUACAUAGUUCUUCACAGGGAAGAAUGCUUUAUCAAGUAAUAUGAUUCAAAACUGUGUCAUAUUUAAUUGACUGAUUUUUCUGUUUGAAGAGAAAACAGGCAUCGGUUUGAGUGUGGGGCAGGUAAGUCUGGAGGGUAACCAUUCUCUUACUCUUAGAGGGAGGGCAAACGUGAAUGAAAAUUAUUUCAAUUCUCUUCCCAAGCUGGAUGGCAUGUUAGAACAGUACUGCAACUAACCAAUCAUGUAAUUAGAGGCAGGCUCUCAUAUUCCAGGCUGGAUUUGAACUUGCUUUAUAGCUGAGGAUGAUCUUGAACCCCUCUCUACCUUACACAUUCACACAGCAUUGUUGAGGUAUCGUUGAUGUAUUUAAAAUGUGAAGUCUGAAGGGGUUUUAAAAUUUAUUCAUUUUUAUUCCAUGUGUACAAAGGUUUUUACCUGCAUGUUGGCAUACUAGUGCCCCUGCAGGCCACAAGACAACUUGGGUCCUCUGGAACAGUUAUGAGCAGCCAUGUGGGAGCUGGGACUUGAACCUGGAUCCUCUGCUAGACCAGCCAGUGCUCUUAACCAUUAAGCUAUCUCUCCAGUCUCAGCGUGAUGAAUUUUGACACAGGCCUACCUCCGGAAGGGCAUCACCAUUGAUUGAUAAUUUAAUGAUUUAAAUGUAAAUUAGCAGCAUAUUUUUUUGGCUCUGGGGUUUCCUUUCUGGUGUUUGCCCACUCUAUCCCUCACUUGACACUGAUCUCUGCUUCAUGUUUAUGAUCUGAUCUCAUUUUCAGAACACUAUACACACACUAUACACAGAAAAUCACAUUGUAGGUCUGGCUUCUAUUUUUCAGUCUGGCUUCUCUCUCUCUCUCUCUCUCUCUCUCUCUCUCUCUCUCUCUCUCUCUCUCUCUCUCUUUCCGGAGCUGGGGACCGAACCCAGGGCCUUGCUGUUUCUAGGCAAGCGCUCUACCACUGAGCUAAAUCCCCAAUCCCCAGUCUGGCUUCUUUUGGUUCAGUCUUAGUCACUGUUCUGUUGCUGUGAAGAGACACCAUGACCCAGGCAAUGCUCAUGAAGAGCAUGCUGGCUUACAGUUUUAAAGAGCCAGUCCAUGAUCAUCAUGUCGGGAAGCAGACAGGCAUGGUGCUGGGGCAGCAGCCAAGGGGUUUUGUAUCCUUAUCCACAGUAGCAGGCAAAGAGAGGCAUAGCCUUUUGAAACCUCAGUGCCUACCUCAGGUGACACACAUCCUUUAGCAAUCACACCUCCAAACAGUUCGUCACUGGGGAGCGAGCCUUCCAAUACAUAAGGCUAGGGGACCGGCUUUUAUUAAACCAUCGCACACAGUACAAUUCUCCCGGUAUCUGUUCCAGGUUACUGUCUACCAGUCGAUUCCUCUUUGUUGCCGGGGAGGAUUCUUCGGAACAGUAUGCUUCAGUGUGUUUAUUCGCAUGUGGACAUGCAUUUGAAUGUGCUUCUGGUUUUGACUGUCCUAUAUAAAACGGCAGUGAAUAUUCAUGAUGUGUGUCUCCAGACACGGGUGCUCUCUUUCCUUGUGUAAAUAUCUGGGUUAUAAGGGACGCUGGGGUUUAGCUUUUUUUUUUUUUUAAAAAAAAUUCUAAACUGUUUUUUGAAAAUUAUGAUAAUCCUGCUGCAUUCUGGGUGUGCGUCCUGGACAUUCCACAGUCUCUGAAGGACGGUUUAGUUUUAACCAUAGGGUCAGCUGGGCAGUCAAGGGCUCUUCAGUGCAAAUAAUCACACCCCCCCCCAAUAUUCUGUGCCCUGUUUUUGUUAUGCCCCUCCUUUAUAAUUUAAAUCACAAGCCACGAUUUGCUAAUUUAUGACGCAGUAAUGAAUUCCUGUGUGUGUGUGUGUGUGUGUAUGUCUGUGUGUGUCUGUGUGUCUGUGUGUGUGUGAGUGUGUGUGUCAUUGUGUGUGUCUGGGUUUAUGUGUGUGUCUGUAUGUGAGUAUGUAUGUCUGUGUGUGUGAGUAUGUAUGUCUGUGUGUAUGUGUCUGUGUGAGUGUGUGUCUGUGUGUAUGUGUCUGUGUGUGUCUGUGUGUGAGUGUGUGUCUGUGUGUGUGUAUGUGUCUAUGUGUGUUUGUAUGUCUGUGUCUCUGUGUGUGUUGUUGUUGAAACUCUCCCUUUCCUAAGCAGUUGACAUCAUAAUGGCUGGUAGGAAGGAAGGUAAGAGACAGGGGUCUACAGGCCUUCAGGUUCCUUUCUCCCAGCUCUGGGUUUACAAUUCACUGGGGUGGGCUUUUAAGGACAGUGGGACACAGUGGUCCAAUUUUAGUUAUUGUAAAUGCUUGAGUUUUAAGAUUUAUUUAUUUUUAUUUAUUUUAUGUAUAUGAGUACACUGUAUUUUAUGUAUAUGAGUUGUCUUCAGACACACCAGAAGAGGGUAUCAGAUCCCAUUACAGAUGGUUGUGAAGCCACCAGGUUGUUGCUGGGAAUAGAACUCAGGACCUCUGGAAGAGCAGCUAGUGCUCUUAACCACUGAGCCAUCCCUCCAGCGCCAAGGUUUAUUUUUAAAUGUUCAUUUAUGUGCAUCGCUGUGAAUGUGCUGCUUAUGUGCAGGUUCCCACAGAGGCCAGAAGUCAGUGCUGGGUCCUCUGGAGCUGAGGUCACAAGCAGGCGUGAGCCACCAGAUGUGGCCCAGGGAACCAGACUACUGCCCUUCACGGCUGAGGCACCUCUCCUCUGUGGAGGUCACCUCUAACAAGCCUCAUCAAGCAUUUACACGGUUUACUUGUUCACAAACGUUUUGCAGAUCCCCGCAAAUCAGGAUUUCUAUUGCAGCUAAGAGCAGCAGGGUGAGUGUUCCCACCAUUCUGGGCAGCCAGGACAGCUACACUGACCUCCUCACCUUCAUUCUCACCCUGAGAAGGUGGGCCUCAGUGUUCCAGACCCUCUGCCUCACAGCCCCAGAAAUGUUUCUCUCUGCUGUGUCAGAGAUGAAGACAGAGGCUAACUGAACUUGAACAGAGAGCUGCCUGCUCUGUUUACUCCACUCCUUUAGCUGCCCAAAUUUAUCCUCACUCUGUUGUUUUUAGCAAGAGCAGAAGCAAUUUGAUUCAGAUUGUUUUGCUUUUAAUCAGCAGGUCUGCUUGGAUAGUUUAUCUGCCCCAGUACGGGGUGGACUUCCUCCUCUCUGCCAACCCACUUUCCUGUCUUCCCGAAACUCUCUAAUCCCUUUGUGACACAGCCUGGUGUCUAGUGAAGGAUUAGUGCUAAAACUCUUUCUCCCUCCCACUGCUGGACGCCGCACACUGGAUAAUCGACUCUUGAUUGUGACGCUCAGUUUUCACACAGUACAUGCUCAUGACUGAUGAGUCCUUCCUGGCUUCCUCAGAUCUGCUAAUCCCACCCUGAUCUUGGACGGGUCUUUCUCUCUCUCUUUUUUCUCAUGAUUCAGCCUUUUAAAAAAUAGACUCUUAAGUCUCAAAGCAAUAAUCUCACUUUUUUUGUCUCUCUCUUUCGAGUUUUCCUUAAGCUACGAGCUGCUGUUUUUCUAAAUAGACUUUAUGAUCAUUUUGCCAAAGCUGUGAAUUUGAUUCCAUUGGGAAUGUUUUUGAACUGCAUUAAGCAUAAAAAAUAUUGUGAAAGGCUUGGCAGUUUAUAAACCUCACUCUUCCCACCCACAGCUGGGGGAGGGCGUCUGUCCACCUCUGUAAAGAGGGCUUCGUUUACAUCCAUCUUGACAGGCUGCCUCCUUUUACCUCCCUGUCACAUAUGGGUGAGUUCAGCCCAUGGUCCCAUUCUUCUUUCCCAUGUCGGGAGCUGGGCUGGGCUCUGGCUUUGCUGUCCUAGGUUAUUUGGCGAUGUUGAUGUGCCCCUGCAUUCUAAGUUGUCUUUUCUCUGCUGGCAUCUGUGGAUGCCCCUGGCAACCAUAAUUGACUCUAAUAAGAUUUGCUGUGUGUUCUCCUCACACAGGGCACCUGAGCUACAUUUGCUCUUCUUUCGAGAGUUCUAGAGGGAUAAUCCACGGUGAUAAUUUCCCCUUCCUUAAUGGUAAAUGUAUGCAUGUUUAAUAAAAAGAUACAUUUCUUCUCAGUAUAUUAAGCAUUUAAAAUUUAUUGUGGGGGGAGUAUGCAUGUAUGUGUUUGUAUGUAUGUGUUUGCAUAUGUGUUCCUAUGUGUGUGUAUGUGCGUGUGUGUGCGUGUGUGUGCGUGUGUGCGUGCGUGUGUGUGCGUGUGUGUGUGUGCGUGCGUGUGUGUGUGUGUGUGUAAGCUAAAUGUCAACUGUCUACUUCAGGAGUCAUUUCUCCUCAGCCAUCUAAUCUGUUUUGUUGUUGUUGUUUUGUUUUGUUUUUGUUUUUGUCUUUGUUUUUUUUUGACACAGAGUCAGUCACUGGUCUGGAUUUUACCAAGUAAGUCAAGCUGGCUGUCUAGCAAGUCCCAGGGACCAGUCUGUCUCCAUCUCCCCAGAGUGUGCAUGGGGCCAGGAUUACAAGUGCAGAGCUCACACCCAGGUUCUAUAUGUGGGUUCUGGGGAUCAAACUCAGGUUCUCAUGCUUGUGCCUCACAAACUGGGCCACCCACCUCCCUAGCCGUACCGAGGCACUGUUGGCAGGACUUCACGCCUCUCCCCUGAAAGAAGCGUAAGGAAGUAUUGCAACACUGCAGAGCCUGAAGAUUUAGCCAGAGAGGGAAUCAGAAAACUCUAGAUGCUGUAACAAAUAGUCUAGAAGUUGUCUGAAUUUUAGACACAGUAAUAAGAGGCUUUUGAGAAAUAAUAUGUUGGUCUGUACUAACUGAAUGCAAUGUAAACUUGACCAUUGAGAGUGAACAUGGAAAGAACUAUGCACACAAGGUGCAUGGGGAGGGCCAUGUGCACAAGGCUUAGAGAAAGAGAACAUUGAAAACCAUGAGGACCAAAUUCUAAUCUUCUUUACUUACAGGGUAAAUUUUGAGGGUGGGGUCUGUGUGCACAACCCGUCCCACUUUGCUCCUGCAGAAACCCACAAGCCUUCUGGCAUCUCCUUUCUCCAGCAGCGCAGCUCAGAGGACAGUUUUGGAAAGGGUUGGUGUUCUGGUUAAAACUUGCAGCAAAAGAUGGGUAAGUUAGCUGUUAUCUGUCAUAGUUUGAAUAUGCUUGGCCUAGGGAGUGGCACUACUUGGAGGUGUGGCCACUAUUGGAGUGGGUGUGGCCUUGUUGGAGUAGGUGUGGCCCUGUUAGAGUAGGUGUGGCCCUGUUGGGGUAGGUGUGGCCCUGUUGGAGUAGGUGUGGCCCUGUUAGAGUAGGUGUGGCCUUGUUGGAGUAGGUGUGGCCCUGUUAGAGUAGGUGUGGCCCUGUUGGGGUAGGUGUGGUCCUGUUGGAGUGGGUGUGUCCC